rnacentral:rRNA from 1 species
AUAGCUCACUGGUCGAGUCGGCCUGCGCGGAAGAUGUAACGGGGCUAAACCAUGCACCGAAGCUGCGGCAGCGACGCUUAUGCGUUGUUGGGUAGGGGAGCGUUCUGUAAGCCGUUGAAGGUGGCCUGCGAGGGUUGCUGGAGGUAUCAGAAGUGCGAAUGCUGACAUAAGUAACGAUAAAGCGGGUGAAAAACCCGCUCGCCGGAAGACCAAGGGUUCCUGUCCAACGUUAAUCGGGGCAGGGUGAGUCGACCCCUAAGGCGAGGCUGAAAAGCGUAGUCGAUGGGAAACAGGUUAAUAUUCCUGUACUUGGUGUUACUGCGAAGGGGGGACGGAGAAGGCUAGGCUAGCCGAGCGACGGUUGUCUCGGUUUAAGCGUGUAGGGGGGUGUUCCUGGUAAAUCCGGAACGCUGUUAACCCUGAGGCGUGAUGACGAUGCACUACGGUGCAGAAGUAGUUGAUGCCAAGCUUCCAGGAAAAGCCUCUAAGCUCCAGGUAACAUCAAAUCGUACCCCAAACCGACACAGGUGGUCAGGUAGAGAAUACCAAGGCGCUUGAGAGAACUCGGGUGAAGGAACUA